CCGGCGACCGGCGCACGGUGAGUAACGCGUAUGCAACCUGCCCGUUUCAGCGGGAUAACCCGGAGAAAUCCGGCCUAAUACCGCAUGUGGCCGAGGGGAGGCAUCUUCUUUCGGCCAAAGGAGGCGACUCCGGAGACGGAUGGGCAUGCGUGACAUUAGCUUGUUGGCGGGGUAACGGCCCACCAAGGCGACGAUGUCUAGGGGUUCUGAGAGGAAGGUCCCCCACACUGGUACUGAGACACGGACCAGACUCCUACGGGAGGCAGCAG
rnacentral:rRNA from 1 species